rnacentral:rRNA from 1 species
GAACGGGUGAGUAACACGUGGGUGAUCUGCCCUGCACUUUGGGAUAGGCCUGGGAAACUGGGUCUAAUACCGAAUAGGACCACGCGCUUCAUGGUGUGUGGUGGAAAGCUUUUGCGGUGUGGGAUGGGCCCGCGGCCUAUCAGCUUGUUGGUGGGGUAAUGGCCUACCAAGGCGACGACGGGUAGCCGGCCUGAGAGGGUGACCGGCCACACUGGGACUGAGAUACGGCCCAGACUCCUACGGGAGGCAGCAGUGGGGAAUAUUGCACAAUGGGCGCAAGCCUGAUGCAGCGACGCCGCGUGAGGGAUGACGGCCUUCGGGUUGUAAACCUCUUUCAAUAGGGACGAAGCGCAAGUGACGGUACCUAUAGAAGAAGCACCGGCCAACUACGUGCCAGCAGCCGCGGUAAUACGUAGGGUGCGAGCGUUGUCCGGAAUUACUGGGCGUAAAGAGCUCGUAGGUGGUUUGUCGCGUUGUUCGUGAAAACUCACAGCUUAACUGUGGGCGUGCGGGCGAUACGGGCAGACUAGAGUACUGCAGGGGAGACUGGAAUUCCUGGUGUAGCGGUGGAAUGCGCAGAUAUCAGGAGGAACACCGGUGGUGAAGGCGGGUCUCUGGGCAGUAACUGACGCUGAGGAGCGAAAGCGUGGGGAGCGAACAGGAUUAGAUACCCUGGUAGUCCACGCCGUAAACGGUGGGUACUAGGUGUGGGUUCCUUCCUUGGGAUCCGUGCCGUAGCUAACGCAUUAAGUACCCCGCCUGGGGAGUACGGCCGCAAGGCUAAAACUCAAAGGAAUUGACGGGGGCCCGCACAAGCGGCGGAGCAUGUGGAUUAAUUC